AGUGAACGCUGGCGGUAGGCCUAACACAUGCAAGCCGAACGGCAGCACAGUAAGAGCUUGCUCUUACGGGUGGCGAGUGGCGGACGGGUGAGGAAUACAUCGGAAUCUACUUUUUCGUGGGGGAUAACGUAGGGAAACUUACGCUAAUACCGCAUACGACCUACGGGUGAAAGCAGGGGAUCUUCGGACCUUGCGCGAUUGAAUGAGCCGAUGUCGGAUUAGCUAGUUGGCGGGGUAAAGGCCCACCAAGGCGACGAUCCGUAGCUGGUCUAAGAGGAUGAUCAGCCACACUGGAACUGAGACACGGUCCAGACUCCUACGGGAGGCAGCAGUGGGGAAUAUUGGACAAUGGGCGCAAGCCUGAUCCAGCCAUACCGCGUGGGUGAAGAAGGCCUUCGGGUUGUAAAGCCCUUUUGUUGGGAAAGAAAAGCAGCAGGUUAAUACCCCGCUGUUCUGACGGUACCCAAAGAAUAAGCACCGGCUAACUUCGUG
rnacentral:rRNA from 1 species